AAGGGAAGUCGGCAAAAUGGAUCCGUAGCCUCGGGAAAAGGAUUGGCUCUAAGGGCUGGGCUCGGGGGUCCCAGUCCCGAACCCGUCGGCUGUUGGUGGACUGCUCGAGCUGCUCCCGCGGCGAGAGCGGGUCGUCGCGUGCCGGCCGGGGGACGGACUGGGAACGGCCCCUUCGGGGGCCUUCCCCGGGCGUCGAACAAUCGACUCAGAACUAGUACGGAAAAGGGGAAUCCGACUGUUUAAUUAAAACAAAGCAUUGCGAUUGUCCCUGCGGAUGCUCACGCAAUGUGAUUUCUGCCCAGUGCUCUGAAUGUCAAAGUGAAGAAAUUCAACCAAGCGCGGGUAAACAGCGGGAGUAACUAUGACUCUCUUAAGGUAGCCAAAUGCCUCAUCAUCUAAUUAGUGACGCGCAUGAAUGGAUUAACAAGAUUCCCACUGUCCCUGUCUACUAUCCAGCAAAACCACAGCCAAGGGAACGGGCUUGGCGGAAUCAGCGGGGAAAGAAGACCCUGUUGAGCUUGACUCUAGUUCGACUUUGUGAAAUGACUUGAGAGGUGUAGGAUAAGUUGGAGCUUCGGCGAAGGUGAAAUACCACUACUUUUAAUGUUAUUUUACUUAUUCCGUGAAUCGGAGGCGGGGCGGUGCCCCUCUUUUAGGACCCAAGGCUGCUUCAGCUGCCGAUCCGGGCCGAAGACAUUGUUCAGUGGGGAGUUUGGCUGGGGCAGCA
rnacentral:ncRNA from 1 species